rnacentral:rRNA from 1 species
AUUGAACGCUGGCGGCAGGCCUAACACAUGCAAGUCGAACGAGUGGCGGACGGGUGAGUAAUGUCUGGGAAACUGCCCGAUGGAGGGGGAUAACUACUGGAAACGGUAGCUAAUACCGCAUACCAUCGGAUGUGCCCAGAUGGGAUUAGCUAGUAGGUGGGGUAACGGCUCACCUAGGCGACGAUCCCUAGCUGGUCUGAGCGGAUGACCAGCCACACUGGAACGUAGACACGGUCCAUGCUCCGACGGGAGGCAGCAGUGGGAAAUAUUGCACAAUGGUGGCAAGCCUGAUGCAGCCAUGCCGCGUGUAUGAAGAAGGCCUUCGGGUUGUAAAGUACUUUCAGCGAGGAGGCGUUACUCGCAGAAGAAGCACCGGCUAACUCCGUGCCAGCCGCCGCGGUAAUUC